UACGUAGGGUGCGAGCGUUAAUCGGAUUUACUGGGCGUAAAGCGUGCGCAGGCGGCCCGUUAAGACAGGUGUGAAAUCCCUGGGCUCAACCUAGGAAUUGCGCUUGUGACUGGCGGGCUCGAGUACGGUAGAGGGGGGUGGAAUUCCUGGUGUAGGAGUGAAAUGCGUAGAGAUCAGGAGGAACACCGAUGACGAAGGCAGCCCCCUGGGCCUGUACUGACGCUCAUGCACGAAAGCGUGGGGAGCAAACGGG
rnacentral:rRNA from 1 species